rnacentral:misc_RNA from 1 species
UACGUAGGGUGCAAGCGUUGUUCGGAAUUACUGGGCGUAAAGCGCGCGUAGGCGGGUUUGCAAGUCGAUUGUGAAAGCCCUGGGCUCAACCUGGGAAUUGCAGUCGAAACUGUAAAUCUUGAGUGCCUGAGAGGAUGGCGGAAUUCCCGGUGUAGUAGUGAAAUACGUAGAUAUCGGGAAGAACACCUGAGGCGAAGGCGGCUAUCUGGCGGUGCACUGACGCUAAGGCGCGAAAGCGUGGGGAGCAAACAGG